rnacentral:tmRNA from 1 species
GGGGGUGAACGGCUUCGACAUCGCUCAUGAUGACAGUUGAAGCGGGCAGAGAAUCUUCGGUUAUCUCUUAAACAUUCCGUUGAAAAAAUAAAUGCUGAUCAAAAGGCAAACGAUUUCGCCCUUGCUGCUUAAUUGCCAGUAAGCCCGAAUCCGUCGGCUCAGGGCCGCUUCCUUCCUGAUGUCCGGCGUCGCUGCGGAAGCUAACAAAGUGCAGGGGUUACGACUGCGCAAUGGAAAAUUAACGUAACUUGAGCCAUGUUCUGCGACGGGCCACGAGAUGCGCAGAGGCUAACUACAUAACAUUGUGGCUGCGCCCGGAGAAUGCCUGAGGUUAUGACGUUGGACGCGGGUUCAAUUCCCGCCACCUCCACUU